GCCCCUAUAGCUCAGCUGGUAGAGCAACUGAUUUGUAAUCAGUAGGCCGGGAGUUCGAGUCUCUCUGGGGGCACCA
rnacentral:tRNA from 1 species